UGAGCAAUCUGCCCUUCACAUCGGAAUAACCAUUGGAAACGAUGGCUAAUACCGAAUAUGACUUCGGAUCGCAUGAUCGGAGGUGGAAAGCUCCGGCGGAGAAGGAUGAGCUCGCGGCCUAUCAGCUAGUUGGUGUGGGUAAUGGCCCACCAAGGCGACGACGGGUAGCCGGCCUGAGAGGGUGACCGGCCACACUGGGACUGAGACACGGCCCAGACCUCUACGGGGAGG
rnacentral:rRNA from 1 species